rnacentral:rRNA from 1 species
CCCUUAGACGUUCUGGGCCGCACGCGCGCUACACUGACGAAGGCAACGAGCUUUCCUUUACCGAAAGGUACGGGUAAUCUUUUGAAACUUCGUCGUGCUGGGGAUAGAUCCUUGCAAUUUUUGAUCUUAAACGAGGAAUGCCUAGUAAGCGCAAGUCAUCAACUUGCGUUGAUUACGUCCCUGCCCUUUGUACACACCGCCCGUCGCUACUACCGAUUGAAUGGUUUAGUGAGGCCUUCGGAUCCGCGACUCGUUUGUGGAGAAGUUGGACAAACUCAGUCAUUUACAGGAAGUAAAAGUCGUAACA